rnacentral:rRNA from 1 species
UAGGGAAUAUUAGUAAUGGGCGAAAGCCUGAACUAGCAACACCGCGUGUGCGAAGAAGGCCUUCGGGUUGUAAAGCACUUUUUGAGAGGAUGAGGAAGGACGGUACUCUCAGAAUAAGUCUCGGCUAACUACGUGCCAGCAGCCGCGGUAACACGUAGGAGGCAAACGUUAUCCGGAUUUACUGGGCGUAAAGCGCGUGUAGGUGGUUUGGUAAGUAGAGCGUGAAAGCUCCUGGCUCAACUGGGAGAGGUCGUUCAAUACUACCAGACUAGAGGAUGGGAGAGGGAGGUGGAAUUCCGGGUGUAGUGGUGAAAUGCGUAGAUAUCCGGAGGAACACCAGUGGCGAAAGCGGCCUCCUGGCCCAUUUCUGACGCUCAGACGCGAAAGCUAGGGUAGCAAACG